CCUACGGGUGGCUGCAGUGGGGAAUAUUGGACAAUGGGGGGAACCCUGAUCCAGCCAUGCCGCGUGUGUGAAGAAGGCCCUCGGGUUGUAAAGCACUUUCAGUGAGGAAGAACGCCUGGUGGUUAAUACCCAUCAGGAAAGACAUCACUCACAGAAGAAGCACCGGCUAACUCCGUGCCAGCAGCCGCGGUAAUACGGAGGGUGCGAGCGUUAAUCGGAAUUACUGGGCGUAAAGCGCGCGUAGGUGGCUUGAUAAGCCGGUUGUGAAAGCCCCGGGCUCAACCUGGGAACGGCAUCCGGAACUGUCAAGCUAGAGUGCAGGAGAGGAAGGUAGAAUUCCCGGUGUAGCGGUGAAAUGCGUAGAGAUCGGGAGGAAUACCAGUGGCGAAGGCGGCCUCCUGGACUGACACUGACACUGAGGUGCGAAAGUGUGGGUAGCAAACAGGAUUAGAUACCCCAGUAGUC
rnacentral:rRNA from 1 species